rnacentral:rRNA from 1 species
AGUGAACGCUGGCGGUAGGCCUAACACAUGCAAGUCGAACGGCAGCACAGUAAGAGCUUGCUCUUACGGGUGGCGAGUGGCGGACGGGUGAGGAAUACAUCGGAAUCUACUUUUUCGUGGGGGAUAACGUAGGGAAACUUACGCUAAUACCGCAUACGAUCUACGGGUGAAAGCAGGGGAUCUUCGGACCUUGCGCGAUUGAAUGAGCCGAUGUCGCAUUAGCUAGUUGGCGGGGUAAAGGCCCACCAAGGCGACGAUCCGUAGCUGAUCUGAGAGGAUGAUCGGCCACACUGGAACUGAGACACGGUCCAGACUCCUACGGGAGGCAGCAGUAGGGAAUAUUGCGCAAUGGGCGAAAGCCUGAUGCAGCCAUGCCGCGUGAGUGAUGAAGGUCUUCGGAUUGUAAAGCCCUGUUGUUAGGGAAGAAAAGCAGCGGAUUAAUACGCCGCUAUUCUGACGGUACCCAAAGAGUAAGCACCGGCUAACUUCGUG